GUAACGCGUGGGUAACCUGCCCUGUACAGGGGGACAACAGCUGGAAACGGCUGCUAAUACCGCAUAAGCCUACGGAACCGCAUGGUUCAGCAGGAAAAACUCCGGUGGUACAGGAUGGGCCCGCGUCUGAUUAGCUGGUUGGCGGGGUAAAGGCCCACCAAGGCGACGAUCAGUAGCCGGCUUGAGAGAGUGAACGGCCACAUUGGGACUGAGACACGGCCCAAACUCCUACGGGAGGCAGCAGUGGGGAAUAUUGCACAAUGGGGGAAACCCUGAUGCAGCAACGCCGCGUGAGUGAAGAAGUAUUUCGGUAUGUAAAGCUCUAUCAGCAGGGAAGAAAAUGACGGUACCUGACUAAGAAGCACCGGCUAAAUACGUG
rnacentral:rRNA from 1 species